GGUGAACGCUGGCGGUAGGCCUAACACAUGCAAGUCGAACGGCAGCACAGUAAGAGCUUGCUCUUACGGGUGGCGAGUGGCGGACGGGUGAGGAAUACAUCGGAAUCUACUUUUUCGUGGGGGAUAACGUAGGGAAACUUACGCUAAUACCGCACACGACCUACGGGUGAAAGCAGGGGAUCUUCGGACCUUGCGCGAUUGAAUGAGCCGAUGUCGGAUUAGCUAGUUGGCGGGGUAAAGGCCCACCAAGGCGACGAUCCGUAGCUGGUCUGAGAGGAUGAUCAGCCACACUGGAACUGAGACACGGUCCAGACUCCUACGGGAGGCAGCAGUGGGGAAUAUUGGACAAUGGGCGCAAGCCUGAUCCAGCCAUACCGCGUGGGUGAAGAAGGCCUUCGGGUUGUAAAGCCCUUUUGUUGGGAAAGAAAAGCAGCAGGUUAAUACCCCGCUGUUCUGACGGUACCCAAAGAAUAAGCACCGGCUAACUUCGUG
rnacentral:rRNA from 1 species